GUGAUUAAACAAGAAUUUCUUUUGGGCACCUUAUAUGUUGUGGAUAUUUUUUGUUAUUUACCAAGGAGAUGGCUGAUAUUGCACUUUGGAAUGAUCCUUGUGCAGAUAUUAUUAUUGUUUUAGCAUUAAAGACAAUGUUAUGCUAAAAUGUAUGCUGAAAGAAAUUUUCUUGUUUUAAAUUUUCAGUUUAAUUUUGUGCUCAACAAAAAAUGGUUGUACAAUUUGUCUGAGGAACAUUUUAAUACUGAAAAAAAUAAAUAUUCUUAUUUUUUCUAAUUGUUAACAGUAUUUAAAAUUAAAUCUAAAAUGACUUCAAAACUAAUAAGUGAGUUUUUUUGAACAUCCAGUAUAGCUGCUGUGUGUGUUCACAGUUCGUUAGUUUAAAGUGGUGAAAGGGAAGUGAAACAGACAGAUGACAAAGUCUUUAUCUGUAAGAGACAUUACAUUUUUAAUAAGACAAACAUUGCAGCUAUAAAUUAUUUGCUGUAACAUGUUAUUAGGCAGAUAUAAACAUUUCAUUGAAUGAUAAGUAAUCAUACUUUUCCAUUACAUUUACAGGAGAGUUGUGCUGCAUAAUUCUUAGCGAUUUAUGAUGAGUGCCAUGAGGAUUCAUUAGUUUAAAUUAAAUCUAUAAAAAUAAAAAGGGUUUUUUUUUUUAUUUGUUAAACCCUAAUUUCCUCCCAUUCCUCACCUCCUCUGCUCUGUCUGAUCACAACAUCCUGCACACAGCUGAUCCACAGUAGUGUUAACCUCUGUCCUCUAUCAUAAGUGUCUCAUGUUCAGCUGUCUGUCCUACAGUGGAAGUUGAUCUGCUCCUUGUGUGUCUCUGCUCUCCCCUCCAGCUGGCACCAUGGUCAGGCCCUCAGUCUCUCUGCUUCCCCCCUCCUCUGAGCAGCUCUCUGGGGGCUCGGCCACGCUGGCCUGCCUGCUGACUGGCUACUCUCCUCAGGGAGCUGUGGUGAGCUGGGAGGUGGACGGUACAGAGGUGACAGAGGGGGUCCUGACCAGCUCAGAGGAGGAGAAGAGCGGACGCUACAGCAGCAGCAGCACCCUGAGUCUGAGCAAGGAGCGCUGGAUGGGAGGAGAGCUGUACUCCUGCAAGGUCCUCCAUCAUGGCCACAGCCAGACACAGUCCCUCCACAGGAGCCAGUGUAAGGGUUAGAGGGGCAGGCUGAAGCUCAGGACAGGAGUUCUGUGUGUGGGGAGCAGGAGGAACACACCUGCUGCUCUGAUCAAUAUGACUUUUACUGUUUGUAGAGGAAACUAAAGCUUUGUGUGACAGAGAACAACACUGCUGUAAAGUGUUAGACAACAACAACUUAGAGAUUAAUGUGUGUAGCUCAGCAGCUAGAUGUGAGCGUGCUUAAUAACUGUCAUGUUUAUGAUUGAUGUUUUUGCUAAUAAAGCUUGCACUGAUAAAAAUCUUUAUGAAAUGUU